UGGGGAAUCUUGGACAAUGGGGGCAACCCUGAUCCAGCCAUGCCGCGUGAGUGAAGAAGGCCUUCGGGUUGUAAAGCUCUUUCGGCCGGGAAGAAAUCGCAUGGGUUAAUACCCUGUGUGGAUGACGGUACCGGAAUAAGAAGCACCGGCUAACUACGUGCCAGCAGCCGCGGUAAUACGUAGGGUGCGAGCGUUAAUCGGAAUUACUGGGCGUAAAGCGUGCGCAGGCGGUUUAGUAAGACAGGCGUGAAAUCCCCGGGCUCAACCUGGGAACUGCGCUUGUGACUGCUAAGCUAGAGUACGGCAGAGGGGGGUGGAAUUCCACGUGUAGCAGUGAAAUGCGUAGAGAUGUGGAGGAACACCGAUGGCGAAGGCAGCCCCCUGGGCCGAUACUGACGCUCAUGCACGAAAGCGUGGGUAGCAAACA
rnacentral:rRNA from 1 species